rnacentral:lncRNA from 7 species
UAGGCCUGGUAUUUAGAAACCCUGCUUCUACUAAAAAACCGCAUUGAUACAAAUUUCUCUUAAUAUUGUGGAUGCCAGAGGCAGGUUCUUGAGAAAGCAGUGUAAUGCUACAGUUCAGCAGUCAGCACAUCAACUCUCUUGGGAGGAAAUCUUUAGAAGCUCAUAGAAUGAAAGACAGCUCCUAAGUUGCAUGAGAGGGAUUUUAUCUGAAAAAUGAUUAGCAGAACAAUCCAACUGCAGUAUGUGAUUAUUGCACAAUCAAUGUAAGUGGGAGUAUCUUUUUAGAAAACGGUUGACUGCCAUAAGAAGAACCCUGAGGAGGUGUGGUAUAUAAGCCUGAGAUGCAGUUAUGAUUGCAAAACCUUAAGAUCUACAAUGUAGCACUGCAUUCUAACAGGGAAGACUGAAACUCCAAGGAUGUUGAUGGCUGCAUGCCAUAGUGUCUCAGGAUUGGUAAAUACUGAUACAGAAGGAAACAACAAGGCAAAUGAGCUAUCAGUGAAGAACAGGAGUUUCUGUGUGGAUGGAUAUUUAACUGGGGACGAAGAAGGUGCCAUUUUACUUGUUUGUGGAUGCUCCAGGAUACACUGAAAAAAACAAGGUGCUCCCUACUUCACCAGAAUUGGUAUCUACAGAAAUUAGGGUGGGCUUUGUCAUGCUGCUCACUGGAGAGGAAAAUACCACCUUUUUUUGUAACUCAUAUGGCUAUAGUCAAAUGAAGAUGCUUCCUGUAUAGUUUUGACAUUUAGCUUUCCUCUUAAAAACAAAUUCAUGAGCAGUGUCGUCUUUGUUUUUGCUUUUUUAGUGGAAUAAAUUUAUCACAGGAUUGGCAGAUAUAAAAAAAAAAAAACGACUGGUUUCCUCCAUUGCCCACCAUCACAGAAAUUUUAUAGAGUGGAACAAUCUGAAAACUUGUGGUUUUAGAGCUUAUAUUACAUGUACUCAGAUAAGAACAUGCUGUAUGUACCUUUAUAAGUUAGUGGUCACCUGUGAAAAUAAGAGUGUUGUUCUUUCCAUCUUCCUGUUGCUAUCUCUAUCUGUAGAUGUCAAUGAAAAUUUUUGUCAGGGACUAAGAAUAUUUUUGUCAAUCUGCUUGAAAAUCCAGCAAUAUAUAACCCUUGACACAAAGUGUAUUUGAAGUCUUGCUGUGUUUUUAGUCUAUCUGUGAAAAUACUGUUUUACUUUGUGUCCUUAUCAUUGCAUUGUUUUCUUAUAUAGCUUAUACAGUUUAUCACUUUUAAUGUCCCUCAGGAAAAAGUUCCAGUUCAUGCUUUCACCAGUAAAUCUAUCACAUUGAUUUUUAGAUUUGAUGAUAUUCAAAGUAAUCUUAUGUAGGAUAAGUGAAUCUAUUGAAAGGUAUUAGUAAUAAACCUAUUACUGGGAUAGAAUGACAUAAUUUAGGGUCCAUAAUAAUCAGUUAGAACCACUGUGUAUCACCUUUUGUAAAUGUUCACUAAUUUUCAUAAAAUAAAGGUGUUCUUCACUUC